rnacentral:rRNA from 1 species
UGAGGAAUAUUGCGCAAUGGAGGCAACUCUGACGCAGCCAUGCCGCGUGCAGGAAGAAGGCGCUACGCGUUGUAAACUGCUUUUAAUCGGAAAGAAACCCCGGGACGUGUCCCGGGUUGACGGUACCGGUGGAGGAAGCGCCGGCUAACUCCGUGCCAGCAGCCGCGGUAACACGGGGGGCGCAAGCGUUGUCCGGAUUUAUUGGGUUUAAAGGGUGCGUAGGCGGCCUGUUAAGUCAGUGGUGAAAUCCAACAGCUCAACUGUUGAUGUGCCAAUGAUACUGAUGGACUUGAGUACAGACGAGGUAGGCGGAAUUGACAGUGUAGCGGUGAAAUGCAUAGAUAUUGUCAAGAACACCGAUAGCGAAGGCAGCUUGCUAGCCUGUAACUGACGCUGAGGCACGAAGGUAUGGGGAUCAAACAGGAUUAGAUACCCUGGUAGUCCAUACAGUAAACGAUGAUUACUCGAUGUUGGCGAUACACAGUCAGCGUCUUAGCGAAAGCGAUAAGUAAUCCACCUGGGGAGUACGCUGGCAACAGUG